GACGAACCGUGCGAACGUUGUUCGGAAUCACUGGGCUUAAAGGGCGCGUAGGCGGCUUGCCAAGUCAGUGGUGAAAUCCUGCAGCUUAACUGCAGAAGUGCCUUUGAUACUGGCGAGCUCGAGGGAGGUAGGGGUAUGCGGAACUUCUGGUGGAGCGGUGAACUGCGUUGAUAUCAGAAGGAACGCCGGUGGCGAAAGCGGCGUACUGGACCUCUUCUGACGCUGAGGCGCGAAAGCUAGGGGAGCAAACGGG
rnacentral:rRNA from 1 species